rnacentral:rRNA from 1 species
ACGCUCGACACCUACGGGAGGCUGCAGUGGGGAAUAUUGCACAAUGGGGGAAACCCUGAUGCAGCGACGCCGCGUGAGUGAAGAAGUAUUUCGGUAUGUAAAGCUCUAUCAGCAGGGAAGAAGAUGACGGUACCUGAGUAAGAAGCCCCGGCUAACUACGUGCCAGCAGCCGACGGUAAUCUGAGCGGGCUGGCAAGGC